rnacentral:rRNA from 1 species
CUUACACAUGCAGCCCGAACGGUAGACCAGCUUGCUGGGCCACGAGUGGCGCAGGGUGAGUACGCGUAUGCANCUACCUACGACAGGGGGAUAGCCCCGAGAAAUUGGGAUUAAUACCCCAUACAGUGCCCGAUUCGCAUGUUAUCGGCACAAAAGCCCCGACGGUCGUAGAUGGGCAUGCGUGGCAUUAGUUAGUUGGUGGGGUAACGGCCCACCAAGGCAUCGAUGCCUAAGGGGUCUGAGAAGAUAGUCCCCCACACUGGUACUGAGACACGGACCAGACUCCUACGGGAGGCAGCAGUGAGGAAUAUUGGUCAAUGGGUGAGAGCCUGAACCAGCCAUGCCGCGUGCAGGAAUGACUGCCCUAUGGGUUGUAAACUGCCUUUCCUGGGGAAGAACCGCCCGGACUCGUCCGGGCCUGACGGUACCCGGGAGAAUAAGCACCGGCUAACUCCGUGCCAGCAGACGCGGUAAUACGGAGGGUGCGAGCGUAAUCCGGAUUUAUUGGGUUUAAAGGGUGCGUA